rnacentral:rRNA from 1 species
UACGUAGGGUGCAAGCGUUUGUCCGGAAUCAUUGGGCGUAAAGCGCGCGUAGGUGGCUUCGUAAGUCCGUUGUGAAAGUCAAAGGCUCAACCUUUGAAUGCCGAUGGAUACUGCGGAGCUAGAGUACGGAAGAGGCGAGUGGAAUUCCUGGUGUAGCGGUGGAAUGCGCAGAUAUCAGGAGGAACACCAAUAGCGAAGGCAGCUCGCUGGGACGUUUACUGACACUAAGGCGCGAAAGCGUGGGGAGCGAACAGG